AAACGACUGCUAAGACUGGAUAGGAGACAAGAAGGCAUCUUCUUGUUUUUAAAAGACCUAGCAAUAGGUAUGCUUAGGGAGGAGCUUGCGUCACAUUAGUUAGUUGGUGGGGUAAAGGCCUACCAAGACUAUGAUGUGUAGCCGGGCUGAGAGGUUGAACGGCCACAUUGGGACUGAGACACGGCCCAAACUCCUACGGGAGGCAGCAGUAGGGAAUUUUCGGCAAUGGAGGAAACUCUGACCGAGCAACGCCGCGUGAACGAUGAAGUAUUUCGGUACGUAAAGUUCUUUUAUUAGGGAAGAAUAAAUGAUGGAAAAAUCAUUCUGACGGUACCUAAUGAAUAAGCCCCGGCUAACUAUGUGCCAGCAGCCGCAGUAAUACAUAGGGGGCAAGCGUUAUCCGGAAUUAUUGGGCGUAAAGGGUGCGUAGGCGGUUAAAUAAGUUUAUGGUCUAAGUGCAAUGCUCAACAUUGUGAUGCUAUAAAAACUGUUUAGCUAGAGUAAGAUAGAGGCAAGUGGAAUUCCAUGUGUAGUGGUAAAAUGCGUAAAUAUAUGGAGGAACACCAGUAGCGAAGGCGGCUUGCUGGGUCUUUACUGACGCUGAGGCACGAAAGCGUGGGGAGCAAACAGGAUUAGAUACCCUGGUAGUCCACGCCGUAAACGAUGAGUACUAAACGUUGGGUAAAACCAGUGUUGAAGUUAACACAUUAAGUACUCCGCCUGAGUAGUACGUACGCAAGUAUGAAACUUAAAGGAAUUGACGGGACUCCGCACAAGCGGUGGAUCAUGUUGUUUAAUUCGAAGGUACCCGAAAAACCUUACCAGGUCUUGACAUGCUUCUGCAAAGCUGUAGAAACACAGUGGAGGUUAUCAGUUGCACAGGUGGUGCAUGGUUGUCGUCAGCUCGUGUCGUGAGAUGUUGGGUUAAGUCCCGCAACGAGCGCAACCCUUAUUGUUAGUUACCAGCACGUAAUGGUGGGGACUUUAGCAAGACUGCCAGUGAUAAAUUGGAGGAAGGUGGGGACGACGUCAAAUCAUCAUGCCCCUUAUGACCUGGGCUACAAACGUGAUACAAUGGCUGUUACAAAGGGUAGCUGAAGCGCAAGUUUUUGGCGAAUCUCAAAAAAACAGUCUCAGUUCGGAUUGAAGUCUGCAACUCGACUUCAUGAAGUUGGAAUCGCUAGUAAUCGCGAAUCAGCAUGUCGCGGUGAAUACGUUCUCGGGGUUUGUACACACCGCCCGUCAAUCA
rnacentral:rRNA from 1 species